rnacentral:rRNA from 1 species
GUGGGGAAUAUUGCACAAUGGGCGAAAGCCUGAUGCAGCGACGCCGCGUGAGGGAUGACGGCCUUCGGGUUGUAAACCUCUUUCAGCAGGGAAGAAGCGAAAGUGACGGUACCUGCAGAAGAAGCACCGGCUAACUACGUGCCAGCAGCCGCGGUAAUACGUAGGGUGCGAGCGUUGUCCGGAAUUAUUGGGCGUAAAGAGCUUGUAGGCGGUUUGUCGCGUCUGCUGUGAAAAUCCGGGGCUCAACCCCGGACUUGCAGUGGGUACGGGCAGACUAGAGUGUGGUAGGGGAGACUGGAAUUCCUGGUGUAGCGGUGAAAUGCGCAGAUAUCAGGGAGGAACACCGAUGGUCGAAGGCAAGGUCUGCUGGGCCACUACUGACGCUUGAGAAGCGAAAGCAUGGGGGAGCGAACAGGAUUAGAUACCCUGGUAGUCCAUGCCGUAAACGUUGGGCGCUAGGUGUGGGACUCAUUCCACGAGUUCCGUGCCGCAGCUAACGCAUUAAGCGCCCCGCCUGGGGGAGUACGGCCCGCAAGGCUAAAAACUCAAAAGGAAUUUGACGGGGGGCCCCGCACAAAGCGGCCGGAGCAUGCGGGAUUAAUUCCGAUGCAACCGCGAAGAAACCUUACCC